CCUACGGGCGGCAGCAGUGAGGAAUAUUGGUCAAUGGGCGCGAGCCUUAACCAUCCAAUUAUCUUUAAUGAUGACUGCCCUACUUUUUUUAAACUUCUUUUAUAAAGGAAUAAAGUGAGGCACGUGUGCCUUUUUGUAUGUACUUUAUGAAUAAGGAUCGGCUAACUCCGUGCCAGCAGCCGCGGUAAUACGGAGGAUCCGAGCGUUAUCCGGAUUUAUUGGGUUUAAAGGGAGCGUAGAUGGGUUGUUAAGUCAGUUGUGAAAGUUUGCGGCUCAACCGUAAAAUUGCAAUUGAUACUGGCAGUCUUGAGUACAGUUGAGGUAGGCGGAAUUCGUGGUGUAGCGGUGAAAUGCUUAGAUAUCACGAAGAACUCCGAUUGCGAAGGCAGCUUACUAAACUGCCACUGACAUUGAUGCUCGAAAGUGUGGGUAUCAAACAGGAUUAGAUACCCUAGUAGUC
rnacentral:rRNA from 1 species